GAGACAGGGUUUCUCUGUGUAACCCUGACUGUCCUGGAACUCACUCUGUAGACCAGGCUGACCACAAACUCAAGAGAUCCACCUGCCUCUGCCUCCCAAGUACUUAGAAUAAAGAAAUGAGACAUCACCACCCAGCUGGGAACCUGUCCUUAAAAAAAAUAAAAAUUAAUAAUAAUAAUAUGAAAUAAAUCAGAGCAGACAAAUUUUAAGAUUCAAGCCCUCAGCAACCAAAAAACAAAUUAGCCAGAGGCAAUUAACAUACACUCUUACCUUAUAUUUAAGAGAAAACAGUUAUAGUUUUCCGUCUUUUGAUUUGGUUUCUAAUGGGUUUGUGUGUAUGCAGGUGCCACACAUGUGCCAGUCAGAGGAUAAUCUCAAGGGGGCAUCUCAGGAACACUAUCUACCUCCUUUGAGACAAGCUGUCUCACCAGUCUACAGCUCAUCAAACAGGCUGGACUGGCUGCCCACAAACCCGGGCAUCUUCCUGUCUCCGCCUGUUCAGUUGGGAUCCCAGACAUGGACCAGUAACAGCCUUGAGUUCUAGGGACCGAACUCAGGUUUUCAGGUCUGUGGGGCAUGCAUCCGACAAACCGAGCUUCACUCCUAGCCUCUCCAAACCCUGGUUUGUUCAGACAGACUCUUGCUGUUCCACUAUAUAGUCCUAGAGCUCUCUGUGUAGAACAGACUGGCCCUGAACAUGUGGCAAUCUCCAUGCUUUUGCUUGCUUCGAGCUGCAGGUGUGCAACACCACACCCAGAUAAAUAGUAAAGGGUAGGCCAAUACCAAAAGACAAUAUGUGAGAUGUCUGAUUCUACUGGAGCUAGGCAAGUAACUGCAGUUUAAGAAAUUGCUUUUUGCCAGCCGAUGGUAGUGCACGCCUUAAAUCCUAGCACUUGAGAGGCAGAGGCUGGUGGAUCUCUGAGUUCAGGACAGCCAGAGCUACAAAAAGAAACCCUCAUUCGAAAAACAAAACAAAACCAAACAAAAAAUUGCUUUUUAUCUGUUUUAAGCUUUACCAAGCCUGAGGCCUGUGACUUUAAACAAGUGACUUCUCCUUUCAUACACACGUGUAUAUACACACACACACACACACACACAUGGGUUUUUUUUUUUUUUCUUUAAAGAGAUUUGUGUCUGUUUAAACGUCUCCACGAGUGUGUGGACUUACACAGUAGUAAAUUCUGGAUCUGAACUCCAGUCCUUAUGAUGGCCAGUGCCUUUAAACCACUGAGCCAUCUCUCCAGCCCCUGACUCCGCCCCUUUGAGCUUCAGGGACACACACAAGUUAACAAUGUUGCUGUGACAGUUUCCUGGCACAACACACAUACAAGAUAGUACCUUUUAGGCACAUGGUCAGCACCUACCUGGCCUGUAGAACCUCUAUAUGACACCAUCAUCUGGCACCCAUCACCCAGACGUCAUUGUGCCCAGCAAUGAGUGUGAUUUAGCUUCCCCUUCCUCUACACACUGACUUGGGGUUUUAUGAAAAAUAUAUCUGCUUAGGAGGUAAGCAGAUCACAGAGCCAACCAUUUCCCCUUCCUAACUGGGCAAGCAUUGGCUCCACUCUGGCCCUGUUUCCCCUUUUACAGUAAGGUUAAUGUGCUUAAUCUGGCUCCACUUAAAGGAGCAAUUAGCAGAGGUGAGGGCUUUCUUAAAAUCCGGAGUCUUUUCCCUAGCCCAACUAGAAUCUGCAUUUCAUUUUUACUUUUCUUUUUUUGUUUUUUGUUUGUUUGUUUUUUUUUUGAGACAAGGUCUCACUGUAUA
ensembl:lincRNA